UUGUACACGUGACAUAUGGCCGGUGCUUGUCUGAAUGCAAUCAGAGGAGUCAGGAAUCAGGCAAUGCUACUCAUGGGAAACCAGCACUGUUCAGCAACCGGCCAAAUGUAUGGUUUUGCCAUGUCUCUCUGUCUCUCCCACUAAGGUUAACCUCUACUUGUGCGAGGAAAUAUAUUAACCUGUAGUGCUGAUGUUGGAAUUCAACAGGUGUGGGGAAGAUGGCGCCUCUCUGUCCACAGGUACAAGUACGUCAUAACAAAUUCGUGUCCCCUUGUGCUCUAAGGGAACGUAAUACAGCUGCUAAUUCUUUACAAGAGACUUCGGAGGCCUUUCCUGUCUGCAACAUCCAAAAUCAGAUGAAAAGCAUAACAGCAUACAACUUUGGUGAGCUGGAAAAGAGCUAGCUAUAGAUAAGAAGCUAUCUGGGUAUAUUGGUGUUAAUGACAAAAAAGAGAUUGUUGUUGCUAAUUAUUCGCAUGUAAGCUGUUUUUCAUUUUCACGAGAAAACAAGCAAGCAAGCAUCCUCUUCAGCUGUGUGUACCGAUUGACAACAUGUAUUUGUGGGCAUCAGGCUGUGAGCCAUACAUUAAAUCAUGAUUCAACUGUGUUCUGUGCAAUAAGACUAGCUAAUAGAAAAUUGCAUUUCCUGCUAGAUGAUCAUCACUCGUGUGAUAUUUUGAAGCUGGGAGUAUGGAAUCAGAUGGUAGACACACUCGUAUCUGCAAAUUGCUUGUUAUUCAGUGCGGUGCCCUGAUUCAGUUUUGUCGUGUCUAGAGAAGUAGCCCAGCUUAUCUAGCAUUGCAGCAGCUGCCUACAUGAUGGGGGGCCCUGAACACCCCUGCACCAUUUAUCCUCAAUCUGGUUCAACCUUUGCUGUUGUAUUUAGCUUACCUGUCCUCACAUGCAUGUCUCUAGAGCUCCCAAUGAACAAACAC